ACGGGUGAGUAACGCGUGGGAAUCUACCCUUUUCUACGGAAUAACGCAGGGAAACUUGUGCUAAUACCGUAUACGCCCUUCGGGGGAAAGAUUUAUCGGGAAAGGAUGAGCCCGCGUUGGAUUAGCUAGUUGGUGGGGUAAAGGCCUACCAAGGCGACGAUCCAUAGCUGGUCCGAGAGGAUGAUCAGCCACAUUGGGACUGAGACACGGCCCAAACUCCUACGGGAGGCAGCAGUGGGGAAUAUUGGACAAUGGGCGCAAGCCUGAUCCAGCCAUGCCGCGUGAGUGAUGAAGGCCCUAGGGUUGUAAAGCUCUUUCACCGGUGAAGAUAAUGACGGUAACCGGAGAAGAAGCCCCGGCUAACUUCGUGCCAGCAGCCGCGGUAAUACGAAGGGGGCUAGCGUUGUUCGGAAUUACUGGGCGUAAAGCGCACGUAGGCGGACAUUUAAGUCAGGGGUGAAAUCCCGGGGCUCAACCCCGGAACUGCCUUUGAUACUGGGUGUCUAGAGUAUGGAAGAGGUGAGUGGAAUUCCGAGUGUAGAGGUGAAAUUCGUAGA
rnacentral:rRNA from 1 species